rnacentral:rRNA from 1 species
AGCGAACGCUGGCGGCGUGCUUAACACAUGCAAGUCGAACGGAAAGGCCCUUUCGGGGGUGCUCGAGUGGCGAACGGGUGAGUAACACGUGGGUGAUCUGCCCUGCACUUUGGGAUAAGCCUGGGAAACUGGGUCUAAUACCGAAUACACCCUGCUGGCUGCAUGGUCUGGUGGGGGAAAGCUUUUGCGGUGUGGGAUGGGCCCGCGGCCUAUCAGCUUGUUGGUGGGGUGAGGCCUACCAAGGCGACGACGGGUAGCCGGCCUGAGAGGGUGUCCGGCCACACUGGGACUGAGAUACGGCCCAGACUCCUACGGGAGGCAGGCAGUGGGGAAUUGUUCGCAAUGGGCGCAAGCCUGACGACGCAACGCCGCGUGGAGAUGAAGACCUU